UACGGUCACAUCAUAUUGAAACACUGCUUCUUGUAAAAUCACCAAAGUUAAGCAAUAUCAAGCCUGGUCAGUACCUAGAUGGGUGAUUGCUUGGGAAUACCAGGAGCUGUAAG